CAGUUGGGCUUGAACUUACAUUCAUCCUGUCUCAGCCUUUGUAGCUUUGGGAUUAUAGGUCAUUGUUUCUCAGACUAGAUGCUGAGUCCAGUGAGACUCUGAAGAUAUCAUGAGUGUUCUUGGAGAUCAGAGCAGACGAGAUCCAACAGAGGUGGGCUCCAGAAGAUCAGCUCUGACACAAGAAAACUUCAGCCUUACCGGUGUGAAAGGGAGAUGCCAGAGUUAAGAGCCCCAGAGGUACCAGUAAGGUACAGGGGGACUUUGGAAGCAAGAAAUCCACCUUUACCUGACAGGGCCCCAUGCAGCUCGGAACCUGUAAGCUGAUGUACCAACCCUGAGCGCACCCCCUUGGACACUGUCUACAACAGUGCAACACCACUUGCAACACCACUACCAGCUCCGUCGCCAAAAAGUUCUCCACCACUAGCAGCAGAUUCACCUAUGACUGAAGAAGCUGGGAGAUGGGAAUUACUUCCUGAGUACACUGUGCUAUGUCAAGGGAAGGAAAUCUGGU